rnacentral:rRNA from 1 species
AACGAACGCUGGCGGCAUGCCUAAUACAUGCAAGUCGAACGAGAUCUUCGGAUCUAGUGGCGCACGGGUGCGUAACGCGUGGGAAUCUGCCCUUGGGUUCGGAAUAACUUCUGGAAACGGAAGCUAAUACCGGAUGAUGACGUGAGUCCAAAGAUUUAUCGCCCAAGGAUGAGCCCGCGUAGGAUUAGCUAGUUGGUGAGGUAAAGGCUCACCAAGGCGACGAUCCUUAGCUGGUCUGAGAGGAUGAUCAGCCACACUGGGACUGAGACACGGCCCAGACUCCUACGGGAGGCAGCAGUAGGGAAUAUUGGACAAUGGGCGAAAGCCUGAUCCAGCAAUGCCGCGUGAGAGAUGAAGGCCUUAGGGUUGUAAAGCUCUUUUACCCGGGAUGAUAAUGACAGUACCGGGAGAAUAAGCUCCGGCUAACUCCGUGCCAGCCGCCGCGGUAACAC